rnacentral:misc_RNA from 1 species
GAAAUGCGAUACGUGAUGCGAAUCGCAGGGAUCAGCGAGUCAUCCAAUCUUUGAACGCACCUGGCGCCUUUGGUUACACCCAGAGGCGCGUCCGUUCGAGCGUUGCAUUUAUUAUCACAAUCCCUUUACUAUAUGUGAACG